AAUUCGAUUGAGUUUGAUCAUGGCUCAGAAUCAACGCUGGCGGCGUGCCUCAGACAUGCAAGUCGAACGCGAAAGUCCCCUUCGGGGGAUAAGUAGAGUGGCGCACGGGUGAGUAACACGUAGGUAAUCUACCUUCGGGUGGGGAAUAACCCAGGGAAACUUGGGCUAACACCGCAUAAUGCAGCGGCACCACAUGGUGACAGUUGUUAAAGCGGGGGAUCUUAGGACCUCGCGCCUGAAGAGGAACCUGCGGCGGAUUAGCUAGUUGGUGAGGUAACGGCUCACCAAGGUGACGAUCCGUAGCCGGCCUGAGAGGGCGGUCGGCCACACUGACACUGACAUACGGGUCAGACUCCUACGGGAGGCAGCAGUCGGGAAUUUUGGGCAAUGGGCGAAAGCCUGACCCAGCAACGCCGCGUGAAGGAUGAAAUCCCUCGGGAUGUAAACUUCGCAAGAAUGGGAAGAAUUAGUAGGGGUUAAUACCCCCUAUGAUGACGGUACCAUUUGUAAGCUCCGGCUAACUCCGUGCCAGCAGCCGCGGUAAUACGGGGGGAGCAAGCGUUGUUCGGAUUUACUGGGCGUAAAGGGCGCGUAGGCGGUCAGCACAAGUCAGUUGUGAAAUCUCCGGGCUUAACUCGGAAAGGUCAACUGAUACUGUGCGACUAGAGUGCGGAAGGGGCAACUGGAAUUCUCGGUGUAGCGGUGAAAUGCGUAGAUAUCGAGAGGAACACCUGCGGCGAA
rnacentral:rRNA from 1 species